rnacentral:rRNA from 1 species
UACGAAGGGGGGCUAGCGUUAAUCGGAAUUACUGGGCGUAAAGCGUGCGCAGGCGGUUUUGUAAGCCAGAUGUGAAAUCCCCGGGCUCAACCUGGGAAUGGCAUUUGGGACUGCAAAGCUGGAGUGCGGCAGAGGGGACUGGAAUUCCUGGUGUAGCAGUGAAAUGCGUAGAGAUCAGGAGGAAUACCGAUGGCGAAGGCAGGUCCCUGGGUUGACACUGACGCUCAUGCACGAAAGCGUGGGGAGCAAACAGG